AUUGAACGCUGGCGGCAUGCCUUACAAAACAUGCAAGUCGAACGGCAGCACGGGAGCAAUCCUGGUGGCGAGUGGCGAACGGGUGAGUAAUGUAUCGGAACGUACCUUUCAGUGGGGGAUAACGUAGCGAAAGUUACGCUAAUACCGCAUAUUCUGUGAGCAGGAAAGCAGGGGAUCGCAAGACCUUGCGCUGAUUGAGCGGCCGAUAUCAGAUUAGCUAGUUGGUGAGGUAAAGGCUCACCAAGGCGACGAUCUGUAGCGGGUCUGAGAGGAUGAUCCGCCACACUGGAACUGAGACACGGUCCAGACUCCUACGGAGGCAGCAGUGGGGAAUUUUGGACAAUGGGCGCAAGCCUGAUCCAGCCAUGCCGCGUGAGUGAAGAAGGCCUUC
rnacentral:rRNA from 1 species